AUGCUUAUCCACGAUCCCUGCGGCCCCUUCCAACUCAGGAUAUGCUGCGGCCCUACAUCUCCAGCAUAUAAAGCCGCCGCUCACCCUCCACUUCCGACUUUCCCCCCGCGGUGUGACGUGUCGGAGCGCAGGUUCCGUCAGCGCUGCGCUAUGGCGGUGAGGGGCGGUGAGGGGCGGGCGCUGUGCGCGGCGCUGCUUCGCGCACCUCCCGCUGUCUGCGCCGCGCCUGCCCCGCCCCGCCCCGCCAGCGACGGGCGCCAGGUACGUGCUGCGGCCCGGCCCCGGGGGCGGGAGGGGGCGCGAGCGGCAUCGGCCCCACCGCCGGCCUCGCGGGGCCGUCACGCCGCCGGGAGGAGCGGGCUCGUGUCGCCCGGUCACCUCACGCGUGGGCCGCCGGGCCUGGUGUGCCGGCACGCCGCGCCAUGGAGGGCGGGAGCGGGCGCGGCGGUCGGGCCGCCUGUAUUUCCGCGGCACGGCGUGCGGCUGUGGGUGCACUCAGCGCCCGGGCCGAGCAGCUCGGACACGCUUCUCAGCGGGACUGCGGCUGCUUGGCCGGUUAGCAGGUGCUGGUAGGCUUAGGAACGAGAUGAAAACUUCCAGCAGGCCAGCGGUACCAAGCAGUUGGAGGCAGAUGGGCAUCAUCAUUUCAGAAGCAUAGUGCAUGCUGUGAGUGCUGGCUGCCUUACUGAAAUACCUUUAAUUAUUGCAGCUUUCUCACCAGAGUCUGGAUUUUGCCUUUUUUCCUCAGAUUGCCUUUUCAGUGGCUGUGGCCAAUUAUGACUAUAUGUUAAUCUGUUAGUUGACUCUUUACUGAGCUGUCUUCUGUUUCGUAGUUAGCUAAUGUUUGGGAAAGUUUCUCCUUGUAAUUACUCAGUGGGGAGUUAUGUUUUGGUCUUUCAUCCUUUAAGUUCACAACCUAUGGUGUGUUUUUUUUUUCACCCUUGAAGACACAGCUCUGAGGUUUUGGAGGUUUUGUCCAUUCUGGUCUCUAUAGAAAAAGUUCUGAAUGCGAAUCUAUUGCUGGUACUUUGAAUUUGACCUGCAGUUCCUUUGGGGAGCAGUAUGCUGUGGUGACUGUGGAGUUUUGUACGUUCACAAUAGAUUCGUGGAAUUCUUUGAAGUAAAAAGUACGCAUGCAAAAGAUGAAUGUGUAUCUUUUAAAAACAAAAUUCCACUUACUUACUGAAACAAAUUAUUUAACAGUGGGCAUGAAGACAUUUUCUUACGAAACUUAAUGCUGUCCUAUGAUUUUUAUUCCAUCUUUCAAGACGUGUUUCUCUUUCUAACUGUGAUUAUAUAUAUAUCUAUGUAGUCUUUAGAUCAGUUUCACAGAUUUGUACUCAGUGAGAUUCUUGAAGUAGAAUUCAAUCUGCUGAAAUGGUUUCUGCAUGGAUGUUUUUUACAGUUUCAUAGCAUCAUGGUUAGAAUGUGCAUCAUAUGUAUUUAUAUAAAUUUUAAUUUUAUUUUAUCUUAUUUCUUACUGGAGUGAGGACUUUAGGUCAGGAAGCAAAUCCAGCAAACACAGAACUUCACAAAUAAAAUGCUGCUUUCCAGUUGUGUCA
rnacentral:lncRNA from 1 species